rnacentral:lncRNA from 1 species
GGUUAUGCAUUAAAUAUGAACAAAGUCGAUGGUUAUAAUGAUGGGCAUUAAAUGUAUAUAAGGAUAUUUUGGGAAAUUAAAAAGUGACGCUGAUGACACUUUUGACUUAUUCUCGCUGCGUACAAUAAUUUUAAUAGCAAAUGAGAGUGACUCAAGCUUGAUGCCGAACUUUAUGGACACAGAUAUGGAGCAUUUCCGUUCCGCCGAAACUUCGGACCUUCCUGUGGAGUAUUUGUCAAAACGCCGUCCCUACCAGCGAAAACCUCUACAAAAAAAAGAUCCGUCCAGACCCUCUCUGUCAGCUGUGUCGUACAGAAAUUGAAACUACAGAGCAUAUAUUCCUAUUCUGUAGAUGGACUAAAGAGAUUUGGAGAGAUAACAGACUACAGGGAACGAACGUGACGAAACAAAUCCGGCGAAUCGAUCAAUGGCUCCUGUCAGCAUUCGAAUCAAGAAGAGAAUUACCUGAGAGAGAGGUCAUCGCAUGGGUGCUGUGGCAGAUCUGGAAAGCGCGCAACGCACGGAUCUUCCGAGACAAAACUCCAACCCCAGAGGAUGUAAUCGACCUCGCACAUACCCAAAAUCAAGCCUUCAGCAGAGGAACGAAAACAAAAAACCCAAACCGAACCAAAAAUCGGCUCUUACCAGAGGUAUGGAAACCACCAGAAACCAGUGAGGUGAAAGUGAACGUGGAUGCCUCAUGGGUACCAGGAGAAUUUCUAUGUUCGGUGGCCGGCAUCGCCAGAAAUAGAGAUGGAUUAGUGGUCGCCGGUUUUGCUGCGGAAGAUAGGGUUUCGUCCGCGGAACAAGCAGAAGCAGAAGCUCUGUUACACGGCCUUCACUUUAUCUCCAAGUGGCCGACCAAUCACGUGCAAGCGCUUCAAAGUCAAGUACUUCGCUUCGUCUGUGAAAGCGAUAGCUCAGCGGUGGUGGACUAUGUGUUGGGCCGGGCCAAGAUACCAUGGAAUCUGAGCAGCAUAAUCCAAAGUUGCC